UUUCUGAGAAAAUUUGUUCAGGCGUACAUAUUUGUUGUGAUGAAGAAUAUUGCAUUAAAGAAUCCUUUUCUACUGCACUAGGAAGCAUGCUGUGCUCUACCCUGAAGAGAGAGUUAAACAAUGGUUCUGAUGGGCAGGUGCACCCCUUAGUCAAGAACUUUCAACCCUGGCUCGUACAGCGACACAGUUUGCAAACCUGCUGGCUAAUUCUCCAAAACAACUUGAUGGCGCUCCUUCAAUAUCAAGUGGAACAGGAGGAUGGCUGCUGAUGAAAGAUAAGAACAGCUGAAAGAGGCGGUGCAAAUGCAAGUCAACUACCAUCUUCAGCUCAGCAGAUUAAGACUUCCUUGAAUAGUAUGCAAGAAAAUUAUGAAGAGUCCUUCAAAGCAUGACUUCAGCGGUAACUGCAGAAGCUGAAGGGACAGUGUCUGUGGGACAUGGAUUUAGGAACUCCAAAGUGGUGCAAAGAACAUCUGACAAGCCUGAGCAACUGAAGAGUUGAGGCAGCCGCUUACGGAACCACACGGCGGGUAACACCACAGUCUAAUGAAGAACAGAGAAGCUCUCAUUUGUUUUCAACUAAUGAGCUACAGAAGCUGAACUAUCAAUUAUGCAAGACUGUAUUAUUUUUAACAUUUCAAAACACCUGAGGAUCCUUUAUUUUGGUCUCAGGCUAACCACAAACGAUCCUGUACUGGUAAUUUUAGAUGUCGGUGUUUUGUG